AACGAACGCUGGCGGCAUGCCUAACACAUGCAAGUCGAACGAGACCUUCGGGUCUAGUGGCGCACGGGUGCGUAACGCGUGGGAACCUGCCCUUAGGUUCUGAAUAACUCCCCGAAAGGGGUGCUAAUACCGGAUAAUGUCUUCGGACCAAAGAUUUAUCGCCUUUGGAUGGGCCCGCGUUGGAUUAGCUAGUUGGUAGGGUAAAAGCCUACCAAGGCGACGAUCCAUAGCUGGUCUGAGAGGAUGAUCAGCCACACUGGGACUGAGACACGGCCCAGACUCCUACGGGAGGAAGCAGUGGGGAAUAUUGGACAAUGGGCGAAAGCCUGAUCCAGCAAUGCCGCGUGAGUGAUGAAGGCCUUAGGGUUGUAAAGCUCUUUUACCCGGGAUGAUAAUGACAGUACCGGGAGAAUAAGCUCCGGCUAACUCCGUG
rnacentral:rRNA from 1 species